GUGGGCAUGAGAGUCAUUGUGUCCCCGCCAGGAUGGAGAGCUUUAGAGAAACCCCAUUGUGGAGCUUUCUUGCAGUCAGCUAGACCCUAGCCCACUUCUCAGCCAAAGCCUGAUUUGGGGGCAGCUGAGACCAGCCCCAGGCCCCAGAAGGAAAGAAACCUACAUCUCCCCAAGGGCCACCGGCCAGGGACAAUGGAUCCUCUGUCAGCCAGUACUACCUCACAUCCUGCUGCCAAGCCUGCUUCAUUGAGAGAGACUGCACCCUUCAACUAUGAAUGGAAACCAACCUUUCGACACCGUUACCAAGACAACUUAUAGAAGAGAGAAUUCAUCUGGGACUCAGGGUUCCAGAGUGUGUCCAUGAUGGUGGAGGAGAGGUAGCUGAAGGACAGAGGCGACUAAAGCAGCAGCUGAGAGUUCACAUCUUGAACUGCAACAGGAAGCUGCGAGUGCACUGGGGAUGUCAGGAGGCUUUUGAAGCUGCAACCCCCCUUCCCUGGCCCCCCAUACACACCCCAGUGACACACAUUCUCCAACAAGGCAAUACCUCUGAUUCUAAAAAAUUCUACCAACUGGGCCCAAGCAUUCAAACAUAUGUGUCUGAGGAGGGUCAUGCUCACUCGGACCAGCACAGGCUCCUCUCCUGCCUUCAUCUCCUAGGUGCUGGAGUAACAUGUGCAUCUCUGCACACGCAGCUUUUGUAGCCCAGGGGGGGCUGGAGCUGAGUAUCCAGCUCCCAAACAUGGGGCAAAUCUCCUGUCUCAGCCUGGGCUUAUGGGUGUAAAUCAGCCCACCCUUUCCUUACCCCAGGGAGGGGUUGACCUCAGGUCUCUGUGCUUUGAAGGCAAGCACUCCAUCACUCAGGUUUGCCCUUAACCGUACUUUUUUCUCUUUUAGACUCAGCGAACCUUUUCCUGGAGACCUUGCUGGCCUCCCAGCAUGUUUAGUUUCUGUUGCCAUGGCAAAACUCCCUGAGGAAAAGUAACAUAAGGAAGAAAGUUCACGUCAGCUCACAGUUCCAGGUUGCAGUCCACCAUUUCAGGGAUGUCAAGACAAGAGGACAUUGAAGCUUCUAGUCACAUCAUAUCCAUACAUAACCCCGGAAGCUAAUUCACGGAUGUCUAUGCCCAGGUCACUUGUUCCUCAUUUUAUCCUCAAACCCAGGGAAUGGUGCCACUCACAAUGAGCAGAACUUCCCACUUCAGUUAAGGCAAUUAACUGUAACCACAGAUAUGACCAUAAGCCAACCUGCUCUAGACAAUCUCUCACUGAGAUUUUCUUCCUAGGUGAUUCUAGAUUGUGUCAAGUUGAUAACUAAAGCUAACUACCACAACCUAACAACCAUUUGCCAAUGUGAUACACAGGCAUACCAUAGCAUUUUAAGUCAUAAUUCCACAUCUUGUCCUCAGUUCUUCAUGGUUCUUUUUCAUAAUAUAAAUAUAGUCCAACCUUUAAAGUCCCAAUAAGUAACAAUUCUAAUUUUUUUUGAAAAGUCCAAAGUUUCUUCACUGUGAGCUUUUAUAAAUGUAAACAAAUAGGUCAUACACACCUAUCAGAUAAUGGUAAAGGAAAAAAAAUUCUAUUCCAAA